rnacentral:rRNA from 1 species
GACGAACGCUGGCGGCGUGCCUAACACAUGCAAGUCGAACGGAAAGGCGCUGCUUUUGCGGGGUGCUCGAGUGGCGAACGGGUGUGUAACACGUGAGUAACCCGCCCUUGACUGUGGGAUAUCUUCAGGAAACUGCGGCUAAUACCGGAUAGGAGCUCCUGCUGCAUGGUGGGGGUUGGAAAGCUUCGGCGGUUUGGGAUGGACUCGCGGCUUAUCAGCUUGUUGGGGGAGUAGUGGCUUACCAAGGCUUUGACGGGUAGCCGGCCUGAGAGGGUGGCCGGCCACAAGAGUACUACGGUACGGCCCAGUAUCCUACGGGAGGCAACAGUGGAGAAUAUUGCACAGUGGGGCGGAGCCUGAUACAGCGACGCCGCGAGCGGGAUGACGGCCUUCUGGUGGUGAACCGCUUUCGCCUGAGACGAAGCGGGAGUGACGGUAAUGGGUAAAGAAGCACCGGCUAACUACGUG